CUGGGAUUACAGGCAUGUGCCACCAUGCCUGCCUUAUACAGGAUUUUAAAAAUCUGAUAGAGACCAGAAUCCACUGUGAACAAAAAUGACUACUGAAGAGAGACAGCCCCCGACCACAGAAUACCUAAUUUAAAAAAAGUGCUCUAACUUAAUAUCUCAAAACUAACUCACUUGCUUCCCCCUGGUUAUUGCCAGCUGGGGGUGGAAGGGAGGCAGAGGGGACAGUGAUAUCCCUCUGGUGUCCACCCUGGCCUCCUGUUGGGGAUUGAACUGAGGCCUCAUGCAUAGAGGGCAAGGGUUGCUGAGCUACACUCACAGCUGUCCAGACUUUAGACCCACCUGAUCUCAGGUGGGUGUCAGCGUGCUGCAGGAACCAGGCCUCUGCCCCACAUCCCUGGGUUCUGGGUCAGGACCCUGCAUGUGCCCAGGCCAGUGGGAGAGUCUAGAGGGAAGAGAGGGUUCCACACCCCUCACUUGGCUGCCAUUGUCCCCAGCUGGUGGCUGGCAUCAAGUACUACCUGACCGUGGACUUGGAGAGCACAGCAUGCAGGAAGACCAGGGUCUCUGGAGCCCGCGUGGACCUCACCACCUGCCCCCUGGCCACAGGGGUGGAGCAGGAGAGGCUGCGCUGUGCCGCUGA